AGACCCGAAACCCGGUGAUCUAGCCAUGGGCAGGUUGAAGGUUGGGUAACACUAACUGGAGGACCGAACCGACUAAUGUUGAAAAAUUAGCGGAUGACCUGUGGCUGGGGGUGAAAGGCCAAUCAAACCGGGAGAUAGCUGGUUCUCCCCGAAAGCUAUUUAGGUAGCGCCUCGUGAAUUCAUCUCCGGGGGUAGAGCACUGUUUCGGCUAGGGGGCCAUCCCGGCUUACCAACCCGAUGCAAACUGCGAAUACCGGAGAAUGUUAUCACGGGAGACACACGGCGGGUGCUAACGUCCGUCGUGAAGAGGGAAACAACCCAGACCGCCAGCUAAGGUCCCAAAGUCAUGGUUAAGUGGGAAACGAUGUGGGAAGGCCCAGACAGCCAGGAUGUUGGCUUAGAAGCAGCCAUCAUUUAAAGAAAGCGUAAUAGCUCACUGGUCGAGUCGGCCUGCGCGGAAGAUGUAACGGGGCUAAACCAUGCACCGAAGCUGCGGCAGCGACGCUUAUGCGUUGUUGGGUAGGGGAGCGUUCUGUAAGCCUGCGAAGGUGGCCUGUGAGGGUUGCUGGAGGUAUCAGAAGUGCGAAUGCUGACAUAAGUAACGAUAAAGCGGGUGAAAAGCCCGCUCGCCGGAAGACCAAGGGUUCCUGUCCAACGUUAAUCGGGGCAGGGUGAGUCGACCCCUAAGGCGAGGCCGAAAGGCGUAGUCGAUGGGAAACGGGUUAAUAUUCCCGUACUUGGUGUUACUGCGAAGGGGGGACGGAGAAGGCUAUGUUGGCCGGGCGACGGUUGUCCCGGUUUAAGCGUGUAGGUGUGUGUUCCAGGUAAAUCCGGUUCACUUUAACACUGAGGCGUGACGACGAGGCACUACGGUGCUGAAGCAACAAAUGCCCUGCUUCCAGGAAAAGCCUCUAAGCAUCAGGUAACAUCAAAUCGUACCCCAAACCGACACAGGUGGUCAGGUAGAGAAUACCAAGGCGCUUGAGAGAACUCGGGUGAAGGAACUAGGCAAAAUGGUGCCGUAACUUCGGGAG
rnacentral:rRNA from 1 species